rnacentral:rRNA from 1 species
AGUGAACGCUGGCGGUAGGCCUAACACAUGCAAGUCGAACGGCAGCACAGUAAGAGCUUGCUCUUACGGGUGGCGAGUGGCGGACGGGUGAGGAAUACAUCGGAAUCUACUUUUUCGUGGGGGAUAACGUAGGGAAACUUACGCUAAUACCGCAUACGACCUACGGGUGAAAGCAGGGGAUCUUCGCACCUUGCGCGAUUGAACGAGCCGAUGUCGGAUUAGCUAGUUGGCGGGGUAAAGGCCCACCAAGGCGACGAUCCGUAGCUGGUCUGAGAGGAUGAUCGGCGACACUGGAACUGGGACACGGUCCAGGCUCCUACGGGAGGCAGCAGUGGGGAAUAUUGGGCAAUGGGCGCAAGCCUGAUCCAGCCAUACCGCGUGGGUGAAGAAGGCCUUCGGGUUGUAAAGCCCUUUUGCUGGGAAAGAAAAGCAGCAGGUUAAUACCACGCUGUUCUGACGGUACCCAAAGAAUAAGCACCGGCUAACUUCGUG